AUUCCAGCUCCAAUAGCGUACACUAAAGUUGUUGCAGUUAAAAAGCUCGUAGUCUAAUGUAUGGGAGUUGCGGUGUGGGUGUUUGGCUGGUUUUGCCGACUAGACAAUACUCGCUCCGCUUCCCGCUUGUUUUGCUCUCUUUUCUAGAAGGCAAAUGUUUCACUGUAAGUAAAACAACUCGCUCAACAGCAAGGUUAUCUUGAUAUGAAUUAGUAUGGGAUGAUGAGAUAGGCUCGGUCCGUAUUUUGUUGGUUUUAGUGGUCUGAGAAUGAUGAAGAGGGACAAUUGGGGGUAUUCGUAUUUACAUGUCAGAGGUGGAAUUCUUGGAUUUUGGAAAGACGAACUAAUGCGAAAGCAUCUACCAAAGAUGUUUUCAUCG
rnacentral:rRNA from 1 species